AGAGUUUGAUCCUGGCUCAGGAUGAACGCUGGCGGUCUGCUUAACACAUGCAAGUCGAACGGAGUAGAAAUACUUAGUGGCGGACGGGUGAGUAACGCGUGAGAAUCUGCCUUCAGGUUCGGGACAACCACUGGAAACGGUGGCUAAUACCGAAUGUGCAGCAAUGUGAAAAAUUUAUUGCCUGAAGAUGAGCUCGCGUCUGAUUAGCUAGUAGGUGUGGUAAGAGCGCACCUAGGCGACGAUCAGUAGCUGGUCUGAGAGGAUGAUCAGCCACACUGGGACUGAGACACGGCCCAGACUCCUACGGGAGGCAGCAGUGGGGAAUUUUCCGCAAUGGGCGAAAGCCUGACGGAGCAAUACCGCGUGAGGGAGGAAGGCUCUUGGGUUGUAAACCUCUUUUCUCAAGGAAGAAAAAAAUGACGGUACUUGAGGAAUAAGCAUCGGCUAACUCCGUGCCAGCAGCCGCGGUAAUACGGAGGAUGCAAGCGUUAUCCGGAAUGAUUGGGCGUAAAGCGUCCGCAGGUGGCUAUGUAAGUCUGCUGUUAAAGAGUCUGGCUCAACCAGAUAAAGGCAGUGGAAACUACAUGGCUAGAGUGCGUUCGGGGCAGAGGGAAUUCCUGGUGUAGCGGUGAAAUGCGUAGAGAUCAGGAAGAACACCGGUGGCGAAAGCNNCUCUGCUAGGCCGCAACUGACACUGAGGGACGAAAGCUAGGGGAGCGAAUGGGAUUAGAUACCCUAGUAGUCC
rnacentral:rRNA from 1 species